GUAGGUGAACCUGCGGAAGGAUCAUUAGUGAAUUGAAUAUGUUAGCGGACCUCUUCGGAGUCCCUAGCAUCAAAUCAUAUCCAUAACACCUGUGAACUGUGAGGCUGUCUUGAAAACGAAAGUGAUUAGAGCGCCUGCCCAUUUUAUACAAACAUUAAAGUAACAAACGUAGUCUUAUUAUAAUCUAAUAAAACUUUCAACAACGGAUCUCUUGGCUCUC
rnacentral:misc_RNA from 1 species